rnacentral:rRNA from 1 species
UACGUAGGGUGCAAGCGUUGUCCGGAAUUAUUGGGCGUAAAGAGCUCGUAGGCGGUUUGUCGCGUCGGCUGUGAAAGCCCCGGGAGCUCAACUCCGGGUCUGCAGUCGAUACGGGCAGACUUGAGUGUUGCAGGGGAGAAUGGAAUUCCCGGUGUAGCGGUGAAAUGCGCGAUAUCGGGAAGAACACCCGGUGGCGAAAGGCGGUUCUCUGGGACCGGUACUGACGCUGAGACGCGAAAGCGUGGGG